UACAGAGGGUGCGAGCGUUAAUCGGAUUUACUGGGCGUAAAGCGUACGUAGGCGGCUUUUUAAGUCGGAUGUGAAAUCCCUGAGCUUAACUUAGGAAUUGUAUUCGAUACUGGGAAGCUAGAGUAUGGGAGAGGAUGGUAGAAUUCCAGGUGUAGCGGUGAAACGCGUAGAGAUCUGGAGGAAUACCGAUGGCGAAGGCAGCCAUCUGGCCUAAUACUGACGCUGAGGUACGAAAGCAUUGGGGAGCAAACAGG
rnacentral:rRNA from 1 species